rnacentral:rRNA from 1 species
AGAUUGGUCAUGUGAGAGUUGAGCUUAUUGCAAGCAUGUCUUGAAGAAGAAGAUUGUGUGAUCAUUCAUGUUUACCUUCAAGACAUCAUCCAAAUGAAGAGAGUUGGAAAGAGUCAAGGUUGAUCAAGACUAAGUCAAGAGUGAAUCAACUUGAUCAACUCACAAAGCGUAGAAGAUGUACCGGGAGGGAUCAAGCGAUCCCAUGGUGUGGUAAGCAUUGUCAAUUACGCUUUGUGUACUAACCCAUGAUCUUCGUGAGAGUUCUUUGUGGGGUUAGGUUGCGGUGUGCAAGUUCAAGUGAAGCAUCAUGAAGAGAUCAAAUGCUUGAAGCUUGCCGUCCAUUGUGGUGACAAUGGACUUGUGAAGAUGUUGCGGUGUGCAAGUUCAAGUGAAGCAUCAUGAAGAGAUCAAAUGCUUGAAGCUUGCCGUCCAUUGUGGUGACAAUGGACUUGUGAAGAUGUGCGGAAGAGUGGCUCACCCAUAGUGGAGUAUGGGGAGCAAUCAACUAGUCUUCAUCGAGCCAACGCAACCAAGAAAGGUGGUCCAAC